rnacentral:misc_RNA from 1 species
GUGGAAAUCAACAUUUAACCUUAAUAAAGCCUGGGGUCAAGUGUACAAGUUACAAGAGGAAAAGGGUCCUGAAAUUACAGGAAUUUAAUUUUCUGCUUUUUCAAGUACAAGGAUGCAAUCACAAGCAGACGAACAAGCACAUAGAGAAUGUGAAGCAGUCAAUACCUGAUCUCCUGAGAAGAUUGCCCAUACUAAGAGCCUGCUGAAGAGCACACUUCCUCCAAUCAUACCCACAAGACAACGCGCUCCUUGGAGAAAGGAAUAGGCGGCAGCUAUCGCAUUUGUUAUCACCAAAAAGACGAGAGCUUUCAUGUCAGUGAAUUUAGCUUUCUUUUGAAUUGAAAAUAUUUCUUUAACUUGGGUAUCUG